rnacentral:rRNA from 1 species
UACGUAGGGCGCAAGCGUUAUCCGGAAUUAUUGGGCGUAAAGAGCUCGUAGGCGGUUUGUCGCGUCUGCCGUGAAAGUCCGGGGCUCAACUCCGGAUCUGCGGUGGGUACGGGCAGACUAGAGUGAUGUAGGGGAGACUGGAAUUCCUGGUGUAGCGGUGAAAUGCGUAGAUAUCUGGAGGAACACCGGUGGCGAAGGCGGCGUCCUGGACCAACACUGACACUGAUGAGCGAAAGCCAGGGGAGCAAACGGG